UGCUAGGUGAACCCCAUGAGAUGCUUUUUCAAGAAUUUCAAUAUUUGAUUCGCCUUGAGCUCGUUCUUUCCUGGUUUAACUCAAAUUCUCUUCUCCACUUGAUUCAGAAAUGUCCCUUGCUCCAACCUCUCAUAAUUCAGAAUGACAAGGAACGGUCGCCAAUUUUAGCAUGGUCUCCACAGCCAAGUAUUCCUAAUUGUCUUGUAUCCCACCUGAGCUUUAUUGAAUUUAAAGGAUUUCGAGGAUUUCCAGAUGAGGUUUCAUUUGUUGAGUAUGUUUUGCAAAAUGGACAUGUUUUAAAGACGUUGAUUAUUGCUGAUAUUUCCUUGGACCUAAAAAAGAAGUAUCUCAUUCUCAAGUUAGUAUCUGAUGUGCCAAGGGCCUCUGCAAUGUGCCAACUGAAAUUUGAUUGAACUGUAUCUCCUUACUAUAUAUAAGAGAAAACUUUCCCUCUUGAAGUACUCAGAUCAAGUUUUCUCUGAUGAUUUGGCUUUACUACAAAGAGGAUAUGGGAGCAAAACGUAUAAUAUGUAUUUUGCAUUUCAUCAGGUUCAAAACUCUCUUGUAUUUUGACAACUACUAUUUAUUUCCAUAUUUUUGUAUAUUAAUAUCAGGACAUGGUAAACAAGGAAAAGUUCUUGAAAUUGUGUCUUGUUCUUUUGUGUAGAACAAGAAAAGUCAUCUAAGUAUUUG